UGGGGAAUAUUGGACAAUGGGCGAAAGCCUGAUCCAGCAAUGCCGCGUGAGUGAUGAAGGCCUUAGGGUUGUAAAGCUCUUUUACCCGGGAAGAUAAUGACUGUACCGGGAGAAUAAGCUCCGGCUAACUCCGUGCCAGCAGCCGCGGUAAUACGGAGGGAGCUAGCGUUGUUCGGAAUUACUGGGCGUAAAGCGCACGUAGGCGGCUUUGUAAGUUAGAGGUGAAAGCCUGGGGCUCAACUCCAGAAUUGCCUUUAAGACUGCAUCGCUUGAAUCAUGGAGAGGCGAGUGGAAUUCCGAGUGUAGAGGUGAAAUUCGUAGAUAUUCGGAAGAACACCAGUGGCGAAGGCGGCUCGCUGGACAUGUAUUGACGCUGAGGUGCGAAAGCGUGGGGAGCAAACAG
rnacentral:rRNA from 1 species